rnacentral:rRNA from 1 species
GACCUCUAAUCGGAAAAGACUGCCCGCCGAGUUUAA